ACAGCUGCAGCAGGAGCAGAGCUGGAGAAGAAGAAGAAGAAGAAAACAAACAACUUUCACAAAGGUCGUCACUUAACUAUUCAAAGUUGGCAAUGGCAAAUGCUCUGUACCGAAUAAAUACAAAUCGUUUUGCGUAUUCUUAUUC